AUGGCGGAGGCGAGCCGCAGCCACCCGUCGCAGUACGUGAGGCUGAAGAAGGACCAGGACGCUUCCGCCUCCGGCCCCAGCGUGGAGGACAUCCGCCCUGGCGAGCUCAACCUGCCCGUCGCCGUCCCGCAGCUGGAGCAGAGGAAGUGCUUCGAAUGCGGGCAGGUGCUGCCUGAGAGCCACCGGUCGCCCGCCGACGAGCCGUGGACAACCGGCAUCUUCGGGUGCGCCGAAGACCCCNNNNNNNGCCGGACUGGUCUAUUCUGCCCCUGUGUUUUGUUUGGACGAAAUGUUCAGGCUCUUAGAGAAGAUAUCCCAUGGACAACACCCUGCACUUGCCAUGCUGUCUGUGUUGAAGGUGGCAUUGCAUUGGCAAUCCUUACGGCUAUAUUCCAUGGUGUUGACCCAGACACAUCAGUCCUGAUUGGUGAAGGCCUGGUGUUCGGUUGGUGGUUAUGCUCUAUAUAUACUGGUAAUUUUCGUCUACAGCUUCAGAGGAGGUAUCAUCUCGAGAACUCUCCAUGCCCUCCUGGCAUAGUCCACUGCUGCUUCCCCUGGUGCGCGAACUGUCAGGAGCAUCGUGAAAGGAAAGGCCGCCUCGCAGAAAGCAGUGCUGUUCCAAUGACCAUUGUCAACCCGCCGCCGCUGCAAGAGAUGAGCAUGGUCGAGAACAACGCUCCCACAUCCGAGAAUGAAGCGUCGAAGGCCGAGCAUGAUGAUGUGGAGGUGAUACCUCUCUAG
rnacentral:rRNA from 1 species